AUUGAACGCUGGCGGCAUGCUUUACACAUGCAAGUCGAACGGUAGGGUAGCAAUACCUGAGAGUGGCGAACGGGUGAGUAGUGUAUCUGAACGUGCCCAAGAGUGGGGGAUAGCCCGGCGAAAGCCGGAUUAAUACCGCAUACGAUCUAUGGAUGAAAACGGGGGACCGCAAGGCCUCGUGCUCCUGGAGCGGCCGAUAUCAGAUUAGGUAGUUGGUAGGGGAAAGGCUCACCAAGCCAACGAUCUGUAGCUGGUUUGAGAGCACGACCAGCCACACUGAGACUGAGACACGGCCCAGACUCCUACGGGAGGAAGCAGUGGGGAAUUUGGGACAAUGGGCGCAAGCCUGAUCCAGCAAUGCCGCGUGCAGGAUGAAGGCCUUCGGGUUGUAAACUGCUUUUGUACGGAGCGAAAAGGCUUCUUCUCAUACAGGAGGCUCAUGACGGUACCGUAAGAAUAAGCACCGGCUAACUACGUGCCAGCCGCCGCGGUAA
rnacentral:rRNA from 1 species